rnacentral:rRNA from 1 species
CAGGAUUAGAUACCCUGGUAGUCCACGCCGUAAACGAUGUCGACUUGGAGGCUGUUCCCUUGAGGAGUGGCUUCCGGAGCUAACGCGUUAAGUCGACCGCCUGGGGAGUACGGCCGCAAGGUUAAAACUCAAAUGAAUUGACGGGGGCCCGCACAAGCGGUGGAGCAUGUGGUUUAAUUCGAUGCAACGCGAAGAACCUUACCUGGCCUUGACAUCCAGAGAACUUUCCAGAGAUGGAUUGGUGCCUUCGGGAACUCUGAGACAGGUGCUGCAUGGCUGUCGUCAGCUCGUGUUGUGAAAUGUUGGGUUAAGUCCCGCAACGAGCGCAACCCUUAUCCUUUGUUGCCAGCGAUUCGGUCGGGAACUCAAAGGAGACUGCCGGUGAUAAACCGGAGGAAGGUGGGGAUGACGUCAAGUCAUCAUGGCCCUUACGGCCAGGGCUACACACGUGCUACAAUGGCGCAUACAAAGAGAAGCGACCUCGCGAGAGCAAGCGGACCUCAUAAAGUGCGUCGUAGUCCGGAUCGGAGUCUGCAACUCGACUCCGUGAAGUCGGAAUCGCUAGUAAUCGUGGAUCAGAACGCCACGGUGAAUACGUUCCCGGGCCUUGUACACACCGCCCGUCACACCAUGGGAGUGGGUUGCAAAAGAAGUAGGUAGCUUAACCUUCGGGAGGGCGCUUACCACUUUGUGAUUCAUGACUGGGGUGAAGUCGUAACAAGGUAA